ensembl:lincRNA
AUGCCACCAUUUCGUGAUCCUUUGAAAAAAGCACAAUAUGACAAGGAUGAUGAAAAGAGAACUCUUCUUCAGUGUGAGACUGGCAAAAUCUAUACAAUGAAAGAAUUUAAAGAGAUCGAGAAGGCCCAAUUGCAUUCCAGGUUCCCGAGUAUUUCUAAUUCAAGGCAAUGUAUGACUCCAAAUGAAUGGCUUAAAGUGUCCAUGAGAUAUAUAGAAAGUGAAUUUUGUAAAAAGAGCAGGGUCAAAGUGAAGACGAAUUUUCGUACCAGUAGUUUAGAUUUGAAUCAAUUGAAAAGGGAGCCUAAUUUUCUGGAAUCCCAGGAGAAAAGACGGUCAGUCACAAGUUUUGACAACAAUAUAUCCUGAUUGCUGAUCUGUGCAAGGACCCACAAAGGAAGACUGCUUUAAAUGAGUUCCCUGCUGGCAGGGAUCCUUCUGAGGGGCCAAGGAAGACAUUGAAGAAUCACUCUCUCUGUGCAAUAAACUUCCUUUAAUUUAGCGUUCAGUGUCUGUGAUGAUUAAGAAAUGACAAUACAAAAACCCCAAACAAGCAAACAGGCAUGGUGGCAUUCCCCCCCAAAGUGUAUUUUCCUCUGAAGUUAAAAUAUUCAUGAAGGGGCCAAUAAAGAGAGCUGUCUUACUGAAUGCCUGUCUCAAUUCAUUUGGUUUGUGACUAAGGUGUUCUUUCUGCCCAGGCACCAUUGAAAUUGAGUUUUAAGGUAGCAACUGUGCUGUUGCAUCCCAUAUUUAUUAUCUGUCUUAUUCUAGGGUAUAGUUAUCUAGGCUCUUAGAAUUUUGCCACCAAUCUACACAUAGUUCCUGGAGAAAACUCAAUUUAAAAAAAAAAAAAAAACUUAAAGCAUUAUGUUGUGGGAAAUUUCAGAAGAGUAUAUACAAAUAGAGAUAAUUGUAAAAGAGACCCUCAUCCAAUUUCAAUAACGAAAACUUCACAUCUAUGCCACACCUACUUUUCAGCCACAACUGAAUGUGGAAACAAUUCCUAGAUAUAUUUUCAACAAUCGCCUUUCCAGGUGGUAGAGAGUGCACUCCUUUUCCUGUCCUUGCAUGGGAACGGCAAUUCCAAACACUUCACAAGUCCUCAGAAAGAGCCUCAAUCACGCUGUGGUGUGUGCCUGUAAUCCUUCCCUCUGGAAGCCAACGUGGGAUGAUUCCAAGUUCCAGGUCAGACUGGGUACAUAGGCUUAAGAUGAAAUAUGAAAUGUUUCAGAUAGUUAUAUUGAAUAUUUUCACAGUAUUUAAUAUUCAUCAUGUGUUUAUUGAUUUGCUAUCACAACACAUUAAACACUACAUUUGUAUUUAUAAUUUUUUAUUUUUCAUAUAAAACUACUAACAUUAUACGUUUCAACCGGGUACUCUUGAAAGACCCUCGGACCGAGGAGUCUCUACAAAUCAGACGAUCCCCUCAAAAAACACUCAAUGUCCAGUCCAGCUGAUGCAAAAACAAGAGGUAAGUUUAUUAUGGGACGUUUGUGCAAACGGGCCUCCCAGUCCGACAGACAAAGGAAAAUGCCUUGUUCCUCUAAAGCAGGCUUUUUUUAAUAGGAGAAAAACCAUAGGCUUUUAGGGGUUUGGGUAUGUGACCAGAGUCACAGAUCCUUUGGAGAUCUCUUAUCUUUGGGGCUGGAUGGUCUCCUGACUCAGUGGGAUAGUCUGUUCUUAUCUUCAUGACCCUAGGGCAGGGUGGCCCUCUAGGAAUUCUUGGUAUUCAGUUAGGUUGUCUUGUGGCCUUGUAAGGGAAUUAUUUCUGCCAGCUAAGAAAUUCCAGGGGCUCGGGUCAUUGUGACCUUGGUUAGGUUUUAAGUCAGGUCUCCCUGUUCUUAGGGUGAGAGGAUUGUUUUUCUUCUAAGUUAUUUCUUUGUUAAUUGUAAAAUAAUUCAUUCCCCCCCCUUUUUUUUUAGGUAACCCAUUCUUGGGUUAUUAGUGGACAAUUUUAUAUAGCAUUUCGACCAAGUAAAUGGACGGUGUCUGUCUCAUACUACUUCCUGCUGACUUUGGGGCGUCGUUAGGGGUCUAAAAAAUGAAAUGUUAGUCAAAAGAAAAGGGGAUUUAGGCAGUGGAGAAGCAAGCUGGUUGUCAAACUGUUGAAGAGUCAGAAGUGUCCGCAGCAGCACGACUGGUUUAUAGUCUGAGCCUGUCUGGGCCUCACGGUCCUUAGGAGCAGGUUGUAGUCAGCAGCUGAUACUUAGCUGCGUUCUUGAGUCCUAAAAAAAACUUACAGAUUCAGGUUAGAAGAAACAUCAGGGACCUCAGUGCUUGGCACAGCGUGGUACUGUUGAGUUAUGAUGAGGGCUUGAGUGAUGGUUAACCUUUCAUGUAUAAACUCUAGGAGCCUAGUGAGGAGACAAGGGCCAAGUGUCAGGAGUAAGAGGAGAAUGAACAGGGGUCCUACCAGGGUGGAAAUUAGGGUAGUCAACCAUGGGGUCCUAUUGAACCAUCCUUCGAACCAUCCUUGUUGAGCCUCGGCCUUUUAGCUAAUCUCUCUCUGAGUUUUGUCAUGGAGUCUCUAAUUACUCCUGAGUGGUUUACAUAGAAGCAGCAUUCCUCUCUGAGGGUAAUGCAGAGUCCUCCUUCUUUUAGAAACAAUAGGUCUCGGUUUUGGAGGGCUACCUCUGCCAGGGAGGCCAGUGAUUCCUCCAGCC